CAGCAGCCGCGGGAAUACGAAGGGUGCAAGCGUUAAUCGGAAUUACUGGGCGUAAAGCGUGCGUAGGCGGUUUGUUAAGUCUGUUGUGAAAUCCCCGGGCUCAACCUGGGAAUGGCAAUGGAUACUGGCAAGCUAGAGUGUGUCAGAGGAUGGUGGAAUUCCCGGUGUAGCGGUGAAAUGCGUAGAGAUCGGGAGGAACAUCAGUGGCGAAGGCGGCCAUCUGGGACAACACUGACGCUGAGGCACGAAGGCGUGGGGAGCAAACAGGAUUAGAUACCCCAGUAGUCCCUGUCUCUUAUAC
rnacentral:rRNA from 1 species